UACAGAGGGUGCAAGCGUUAAUCGGAUUUACUGGGCGUAAAGCGCGCGUAGGCGGCUAAUUAAGUCAAAUGUGAAAUCCCCGAGCUUAACUUGGGAAUUGCAUUCGAUACUGGUUAGCUAGAGUGUGGGAGAGGAUGGUAGAAUUCCAGGUGUAGCGGUGAAAUGCGUAGAGAUCUGGAGGAAUACCGAUGGCGAAGGCAGCCAUCUGGCCUAACACUGACGCUGAGGUGCGAAAGCGUGGGGAGCAAACAGG
rnacentral:rRNA from 1 species